rnacentral:rRNA from 1 species
UACGAAGGGGGCUAGCGUUGCUCGGAAUCACUGGGCGUAAAGGGUGCGUAGGCGGGUCUUUAAGUCAGGGGUGAAAUCCUGGAGCUCAACUCCAGAACUGCCUUUGAUACUGAGGAUCUUGAGUACGGGAGAGGUGAGUGGAACUGCGAGUGUAGAGGUGAAAUUCGUAGAUAUUCGCAAGAACACCAGUGGCGAAGGCGGACUCACUGGCCCGUUACUGACGCUGAGGCACGAAAGCGUGGGGAGCAAGCAGGG